rnacentral:rRNA from 1 species
UAACUUCGGGAAACCGAGGCUAAUACCGCAUAAUACCCACGGGUCAAAGGAGCAAUUCGCUUGAGGAGGAGGUCGCGGCCCGAUUAGUUAGUUGGCGGGGUAAUGGCCCCCACCAAGACGGUGAUCGGUAUCCGGCCUGAGAGGGCGCACGGACACACUGGAACUGAAACACGGUCCAGACUCCUACGGGAGGCAGCAGGUGGGGUAAUUUUGCGCAAUGGGGAAACCCUGACGCAGCAACGCCGCGUGGAGGAUGAAGUCUCUUGGGACGUAAACUCCUUUCGAUCGGGACGAUUAUGACGGUACCGGAAGAAGAAGCCCCGGCUAACUUCGUG